rfam:Arabidopsis thaliana chromosome 4, complete sequence.
UGGGUGAAGACAGAGAAGUCGAGUUUGACACUAGCAUGUAUCAUUUUAGUGAGCAUGUACCUCCAGCGAGGGAAAGCAAGAGUUUGAGUGAAGCUCACAUGAACAACAGCAAGCUGUAGAAGUGGUGCAAGAAACAUGAUAAGUUACUCGCCAAGUGCUUCAAGACUAUCAAGUUUCUGACAGAUAAGCUGAGCUGCUCCUCUUCCACUACAGCUAUUCCA